GACGAACGCUGGCGGCGUGCCUAAUACAUGCAAGUUGAGCGCUGAAGGUUGGUACUUGUACCAACUGGAUGAGCAGCGAACGGGUGAGUAACGCGUGGGGAAUCUGCCUUUGAGCGGGGGACAACAUUUGGAAACGAAUGCUAAUACCGCAUAAAAACUUUAAACAAAAGUUUUAAGUUUGAAAGAUGCAAUUGCAUCACUCAAAGAUGAUCCCGCGUUGUAUUAGCUAGUUGGUGAGGUAAAGGCUCACCAAGGCGAUGAUACAUAGCCGACCUGAGAGGAUGAUCGGCCACAUUGGGACUGAGACACGGCCCAAACUCCUACGGGAGGCAGCAGUAGGGAAUCUUCGGCAAUGGACGAAAGUCUGACCGAGCAACGCCGCGUGAGUGAAGAAGGUUUUCGGAUCGUAAAACUCUGUUGGUAGAGAAGAACGUUGGUGAGAGUGGAAAGCUCAUCAAGUGACGGUAACUACCCAGAAAGGGACGGCUAACUACGUG
rnacentral:rRNA from 1 species